UAUAGUGGCGUGAUCUUGGCUCACUGCCACCUCCAUCUCCCAGGUUCAAGUGAUUCUUCUGCUUCAGCCUCCUGAGUAACUGAGAUUACAGGCAUGGGCCAACACACCUGGCUGAUUUUUGUAUUUUUAGUAGAGACGGGGUUUCUCCAUGUUGGCCAGGCUGGUCUCGAACUCCUAACCUCAGGGAAUCCGCCCGCCUUGCCCUCCCAAAGUGCUGGGAUUAUGGGGUGAGCCACCGUGCCCAGCAAGUUUUUGUAUUUUUAGUAGAGACGGGGUUACUCCAUGUUAGCCAGGCUGGUCUGGAGCUCCUGACCUUGUGAUCUGCCUGCCCUGGCCUCCCAAAAUGCUGAGAUUACAGGUGUGAGUCACCACACCUGGCCAUGUUCUUACAUACUUUCUGUAUCUUUGAUGGUUUUGAGUAUUCUGCCAUCAUUAGCAGAAAGCUAACUACCAUUUAAGGGCCUUACGUUCUAUCCUAAGGGCAAAACAAAACUAUAGAUAAUUUGUAAUCCAAAACUUUUAUCCAGAAACAUUUUAAGACCACAGUGAUGUGAGCAAGUAACUUGAACGAUGUGUGCCAGGCUGAGUUCAGUUUUGUGGGAAGGCAAAUGCAAUCCAUCGUGGAAUGGGAUAGUCCCAUUUAGACAAUAUGGAUAAGGAAAUCUUGGGUUCUUCUCUGUUAUCCAGGAUGAUUUCCAGGGAGGAGGAUUUCCUAAACAGUUUGACCAGAAACAGCUAGGAAGAUACCUCUGUGUGUUCUAAAAACCUGUGAAGCCGGCACCGCCAAUACUCAGAAAGCAGAUUCGCCUUACUCUGCCCUUCGCUGAGUCAGAGCUCCCCUCUGGCUUUCUGGAUGAUGAUGAGUAACAGCUGGCCUUUAGGGUAAGGAGAGGAUUGCCAGAGAGAUGAAGUUUGAAAGAGGAGUCAGCAGCAGCAGGUGUGGGACUCUCCUCACAGGCUGCAUUCUAGAGAUUGUUGCCUCCCAAGAUUCAGCUGUCAAAGGGCAGGUCCCUGUUCUCAGUAGGUGAGGGAAUAAAACUUGUACACCAGGCCAUCUCAGAACACAUCUCAGCCGCACACAAAUGGAGACCAGAUCCCUUCCUUCCUGGUUUGUUGAUUGGUGGGGUCUUCCUCUGAGCAUCCUGAACAUAUUCAUUUAAUAAAUAUUUAUUGAGCA